rnacentral:rRNA from 1 species
UAGAGUUUGAUCAUGGCUCAGGAUGAACGCUAGCGGAAGGCUUAACACAUGCAAGUCGUACGGUAACUCUGGUAGCAAUACCGGAAACGAGUGGCGCACGGGUGAGUAACACGUAUGUAACCUGCCUCUAACUGGGGAAUAGCCCUGAGAAAUCGGGAGUAAUGCCCCAUAAUAUCCCAGUAAGGCAUCUUAAUGGGAUUAAAGUUUCGACGGUUAGAGAUGGACAUGCGCGAUAUUAGCUUGUUGGUGAGGUAACGGCUCACCAAGGCUACGAUGUCUAGGGGGUCUGAGAGGACGUCCCCCCACACUGGUACUGAGACACGGACCAGACUCCUACGGGAGGCAGCAGUGGGGAAUAUUGGUCAAUGGGCGCAAGCUUGAACCAGCCAUUCCGCGUGGAGGAGGAAAGUCCUACGGAUUGUAAACUCCUUUUCUACAGGAAGAAUUUUCCAAUUUAGUAUUGGGAUUGACGGUACUGUGGGAAUAAGCAUCGGCUAACUCCGUGCCAGCCGCCGC